rnacentral:rRNA from 1 species
GCGCGAGCGUUGUCCGGAAUUAUUGGGCGUAAAGAGCUUGUAGGCGGUCUGUCGCGUCUGCUGUGAAAAUCCGGGGCUCAACCCCGGACUUGCAGUGGGUACGGGCAGACUAGAGUGUGGUAGGGGAGACUGGAAUUCCUGGUGUAGCGGUGAAAUGCGCAGAUAUCAGGAGGAACACCGGUGGCGAAGGCGGUUCUCUGGGCCUUACCUGACGCUGAGGAGCGAAAGCGUGGGGAGCGAACAGG